rnacentral:rRNA from 1 species
UACGAAGGGUGCAAGCGUUACUCGGAAUUACUGGGCGUAAAGGGUGCGUAGGUGGCGAGGUAAGUCGGAUGUGAAAGCUCGGAGCUCAACUCCGAAAUGGCAUUGGAAACUACCUUGCUCGAGGGUUGGAGGGGGGACUGGAAUACUUGGUGUAGCAGUGAAAUGCGUAGAUAUCAAGUGGAACACCAGUGGCGAAGGCGAGUCCCUGGACAACUCCUGACACUGAGGCACGAAAGCUAGGGGAGCAAACAGG